rnacentral:misc_RNA from 1 species
GAUGAAGAACGCAGCAAAAUGCGAUACUUGGUGUGAAUUGCAGAAUCCCGUGAACCAUCGAGUCUUUGAACGCAAGUUGCGCCUCAAGCCAUUAGGUUGAGGGCACGUCUGCCUGGGCGUCACAUAUCGUUGCCUGAUGCCAGUUUCCUCGUGAUGGGUGACUGUGCAGGGCGAAUGAUGGCUUCCCGUGAGCAUUGUUGCCUCAUGGUUGGUUGAAAAUUGAGUCCUUGGUAGGGAGCGCCGUGAUAGAUGGUGGUUGAGUGACGAACGAGACCCAAUCAUGUGAGACCCCUACCGAAUUUGGCCUUCAUGACCCACAUGCGUCUUUGGAACGCUCAUGACGAGACCUCAGGUCAGGCGGGGCUACCCGCUGAGUUUAAGCAUAUCAAUAAGCGGAGGA